AACGAACGCUGGCGGCAGGCUUAACACAUGCAAGUCGAACGCAUCCUUCGGGGUGAGUGGCAGACGGGUGAGUAACGCGUGGGAACGCGCCCUUCAGUUCGGGAUAACCCAGGGAAACUUGGGCUAAUACCGGAUACGUGCGAGAGCAGAAAGAUUUAUCGCAGAAGGAUCGGCCCGCGUCUGAUUAGCUAGUUGGUGGGGUAAUGGCCCACCAAGGCGACGAUCAGUAGCUGGUCUGAGAGGAUGAUCAGCCACAUUGGACUGAGACACGGCCCAAACUCCUAUGGGAGGCAGCAGUGGGGAAUAUUGGACAAUGGGCGCAAGCCUGAUCCAGCCAUGCCGCGUGAGUGAUGAAGGCCUUAGGGUUGUAAAGCUCUUUCGUCCGGGACGAUAAUGACGGUACCGGAAGAAGAAGCCCCGGCUAACUUCGUGCCAGCAGCCGCGGUAA
rnacentral:rRNA from 1 species